UUAGUAGGAUGUUAGCCUAAUUACGUCGCAUCCAUGCGACAACGGCUAACUGACCUGCAUCACGCAGG
rfam:Lysinibacillus contaminans strain DSM 25560 Scaffold2, whole genome shotgun sequence.